rnacentral:rRNA from 1 species
UACGUAGGGUGCAAGCGUUGUCCGGAAUUAUUGGGCGUAAAGAGCUCGUAGGCGGUCUGUUGCGUCGGCUGUGAAAACCCGGGGCUCAACCCCGGGCCUGCAGCCGAUACGGGCAGACUAGAGUUCGGCAGGGGAGACUGGAAUUCCUGGUGUAGCGGUGAAAUGCGCAGAUAUCAGGAGGAACACCGGUGGCGAAGGCGGGUCUCUGGGCCGAUACUGACGCUGAGGCACGAAAGCGUGGGUAGCAAACGGG